rnacentral:rRNA from 1 species
CAGCCGCCGCGGUAAAACGGAGGGUGCAAGCGUUAAUUGGAAUUACUGGGCGUAAAGCGCACGCAGGCGGUCUGUCAAGUCGGAUGUGAAAUCCCCGGGCUCAACCUGGGAACUGCAUUCGAAACUGGCAGGCUAGAGUCUUGUAGAGGGGGGUAGAAUUCCAGGUGUAGCGGUGAAAUGCGUAGAGAUCUGGAGGAAUACCGGUGGCGAAGGCGGCCCCCUGGACAAAGACUGACGCUCAGGUGCGAAAGCGUGGGGAGCAAACAGGAUUAGAUACCCGAGUAGUCCCUGUCUCUUAUAC